rnacentral:rRNA from 1 species
GAUGAACGCUGGCGGCGUGCCUAAUACAUGCAAGUCGAGCGAACGGACGAGAAGCUUGCUUUUCUGAUGUUAGCGGCGGACGGGUGAGUAACACGUGGAUAACCUACCUAUAAGACUGGGAUAACUUCGGGAAACCGGAGCUAAUACCGGAUAAUAUUUUGAACCGCAUGGUUCAAAAGUGAAAGACGGUCUUGCUGUCACUUAUAGAUGGAUCCGCGCUGCAUUAGCUAGUUGGUAAGGUAACGGCUUACCAAGGCAACGAUGCAUAGCCGACCUGAGAGGGUGAUCGGCCACACUGGAACUGAGACACGGUCCAGACUCCUACGGGAGGCAGCAGUAGGGAAUCUUCCGCAAUGGGCGAAAGCCUGACGGAGCAACGCCGCGUGAGCGAUGAAGGUCUUCGGAUCGUAAAACUCUGUUAUUAGGGAAGAACAUAUGUGUAAGUAACUGUGCACAUCGUGACGGUACCUAAUCAGAAAGCCACGGCUAACUACGUG